rnacentral:tRNA from 1 species
GCGCCCUUAGGCUCAGCUGGAUAGAGCACCAGACUACGAAUCUGGGGGUCAGGAGUUCGAAUCUCUUAGGGCGCGCCA